UGCGCAGGCGGUCUGAUAAGUCAGAGGUGAAAUAUGACGGCUCAACCGUCAAACUGCCCCUGAAACUGUCAGGCUUGAGUCCGGGAGAGGAAGGUGGAAUUCCAGGUGUAGCGGUGAAAUGCGUAAAUAUCUGGAGGAACACCGGUGGCGAAGGCGGCCUUCUGGCCCGGAACUGACGCUCAGGCACGAAAGCUAGGGGAGCGAACAGGAUUAGAUACCCUGGUAGUCC
rnacentral:rRNA from 1 species